CGGAGAUAAGGGGCAGGACUACCAGCUAUUAAAACUCUGGUACUAGGGAAAAGAGACUCUGUGAUUUGGGAGAAUACACUGACGGGACACACAGAUACAGAAUAUUUCAAAAAUAUAAUACAUAAUAUAUACAGCGCCGUAACUUGUAUUGUGUAGUUCUAAAUACAUAUAGCACAAUACUUGAUUAUAUUCCUUGGACGCUGGAGACAGAUUGUGGUACCUGAACUUCCAGAAAUAAAACUAAAAACGCGUGGAAUAUCAGCAGGACUGUGAGUUACUGUUAAAUCACUGACUGUCUGGGGUGAUCUGCACUUAGGGAGCAUCUCCAAGUGGAUUUAUCUGUGGUGAACAACCUAAGGGACCGUCUCGAAAUGGACGGAAUCGAUCCUAACAGGAGAGGCGGGGCGAGGGGGAGAGGCAGAGGAAAUGCAGACCACCGGAGAGGUGCGGGGGCCCCACAGAGGGAUGGAGACCACAACAACCCAAGAGGAGGAGGAGGAAGAGGAAGAGGAGGAGGAGGAAG